GAUGAACGCUGGCGGCGUGCCUAAUACAUGCAAGUCGAGCGAACGGACGAGAAGCUUGCUUCUCUGAUGUUAGCGGCGGACGGGUGAGUAACACGUGGAUAACCUACCUAUAAGACUGGGAUAACUUCGGGAAACCGGAGCUAAUACCGGAUAAUAUUUUGAACCGCAUGGUUCAAAAGUGAAAGACGGUCUUGCUGUCACUUAUAGAUGGAUCCGCGCUGCAUUAGCUAGUUGGUAAGGUAACGGCUUACCAAGGCAACGAUGCAUAGCUGACCUGAGAGGGUGAUCGGCCACACUGGAACUAAGACAAGGUCCAGACUCCUACGGGAGGCAGCAGUAGGGAAUCUUCCGCAAUGGGCGAAAGCCUGACGGAGCAACGCCGCGUGAGUGAUGAAGGUCUUCGGAUCGUAAAACUCUGUUAUUAGGGAAGAACAUAUGUGUAAGUAACUGUGCACAUCUUGACGGUACCUAAUCAGAAAGCCACGGCUAACUACGUA
rnacentral:rRNA from 1 species